GAACCUUUGGCCAUUUGAUGUGUUUUCRAAAAGCUUACAUAACUCCUUUUAGCUCCACUUUUCUCUAAUUUUUUCCUUSUCUAAAAAGAGUCCCACCACUCUAUUCCAAGCCUUGAGAAUAGCUAGGAAGAUCUCUUGGUGGUCCUUCAUUGGAGUUAUUUGAAGAUUUUUGAAAAGCUACAAAGGUGAAGGACUCGUGGGUGACCGCGGUGAUGGGACGGAGGAGGCCUGACGUUCGAGGACCAUAGGCUACUUAGUUUUCCUGUUUAGUUUAAUUCGUUGGAUAGAGCCUUAUGUUGUGGCCAAUAAACGGUUUAUUUGCAUUUGAAUAAUUGAGAGAUUCGUUCUUCUUGUUGUUA